rnacentral:tRNA from 1 species
GCCCGCAUAGUUUAAUGGUAAAACACCACGCUUAUAACGUGCAUAGUCCCCAGAUUAGGGAGUUUUCCGGGUUCGAAUCCCGGUGUGGGUACCA